GCCGAAGUGCUGAAACUGGCAGACAGGCACGCUUCAGGAGCGUGUGUCGCAAGACGUGAGAGUUCAAAUCUCUCCUUCGGCA
rnacentral:tRNA from 1 species